rnacentral:rRNA from 1 species
UACGGGGGGAGCAAGCGUUGUUCGGAAUUACUGGGCGUAAAGGGCUCGUAGGUGGCCAACUAAGUCGGACGUGAAAUCCCUCGGCUUAACCGGGGAACUGCGUCUGAUACUGGAUGGCUUGAGUUCGGGAGAGGGAUGCGGAAUUCCAGGUGUAGCGGUGAAAUGCGUAGAUAUCGGGAGGAACACCCGUAGCGAAGGCGGCACUCUGGGCCGUGACUGACGCUGAGGAGCGAAAGCGUGGGGAGCAAACAGG